GCCGGGGGAUGCAAGCGUUACCCGGAAUCACUGGGCGUAAAGCGUCUGUAGGUGGUGAUGCAAGUCACUGGUGCAAAACUCUGGCUCAACCGGAGGAAAGCCAGUGAAACUGCAUGACUAGAGUGUGGGAGAGGUAGAAGGAAUUCCCUGAGUAGCGGUGAAAUGCGUAGAUACAGGGAAGAACACCGGAGGCGAAAGCGUUCUACUGGAACACAACUGACACUGUGAGACGAAAGCUAGGGGAGCGAAUGGG
rnacentral:rRNA from 1 species